rnacentral:lncRNA from 10 species
GCGCGGCCCCUCCCCGCCCCCACCUGAAGCGUCCCGGGCCCCCCGCCCACCUCUCCGGGCCGUGGCUUCUGUGUGUUAUUUCUGGAACGCCGUUUGUGUUCUUGUUUCUAUAUUCACUUCUUAAAACAUCUCUACUCUUCCGCAUCAGAAUGUAGGUAACCUCAGGCAGGCUGGGGCUGUGUCUGUCCUGCCCAGCCUUGUGUGGCCGAGUUUGGGGCGAGCUCGAAUGCGCGCGCGCGUGCUGGAAAGAGACCCCGGUACUGGGACGGGCCUCGGGACGCCAGAGCUGGGAUGCACCGCUCCAUCUGGGAAGGCUUCCUGGAGAAAACGGUUCUUAAGGAGAGAUGGAAAAUGUGAGCAGGAGUUGUGACUAGAGAGGGAACCAUGUUCUAGGCAGAGACCAGAUUUGUGCAAAGGCCUGGAGGCAAGAAAGAACGAGUGUUGGGCGAAGACGGGGGAAGAAAGGGAAGCUGGUGCUUAGAGCAAGGAAAAUGGCAUUAAGAUAUGAGCCUCGGGGCGGGCAGGUCGAAGCGGGCUUUGGAAACCAGAUAAGGGGAUGGAAGGCAGCAGGAAGCCCUUGAGGGAUUUAACCCUGGGCGGGGCUGGGUCACCACGCUGGGGCCUGUGAUCCGGGCUUUGAAGUUAUCAGGGCAGGUGGACGCCCUGGAUUACCGAGGGGCUGAGAGAUAGAGACGUGGACUGAGAUCCAGGUGGGGAGUGACCAGCGACUGGAGGGAGACAGAGGUGACCAGAACGAGUCCCAUGUUUCCCAGGGGGGCUGCUGGAUGGUGGGCGGGUGGGGUCCAGCGCUGCUCUGGGCAGAAGAGGAGGAAGCGAAGCUGGAGAUGAGAUCAGCUAAGUUUUUGGUGCCAUCCAGGUGGAGCAGGGCUUGGUGCCACCCAGAGGAAAUGCUGUCCAUCUGUCUGCCCUGCUCUGAGGGGCAAAUCAGUAAGGGACUGCCCAGGUGUGCCCUCUCCCUGUCAAAGGGCUGCCGCUAGAGACCUCGCCUGCCAAUAGGCAUUCGCUGGCCGCGCCGCCCUGGGCAGUGACCUGGGGCUGCAGAGUGGCAUCUGGCAUGGGGACACGGCCAGGGGCAUGGGCUCACGGCCAGGACAGAGGAGGACAAGGCCUAAGGCAGGAACAGUCCGGGACAGGCCGAAGGCCCCAUGGUGCCCCAGGGUACUAUAGCCACUAGCCACAUGUGGCUACUUAAAUUUCAAUUAGUUAGAAUUCAGCAUUCCGUUCCUCAGCCACAGGAGCCACAUUUCAGGGACUCAGUAGCCGCAUGUGGCUUAGCAGCUGCCACGCUGGAUAGCACAAAUAUAAAACACUUCCCCCGUCCCCCCAGAAAGUUCUGCAGCACAGUCGCAUGCUGAACUGUGUCCUCCCGUAAUUCAUAUGUUGAAGUCCUAACCCCCAGUACCUCAGCAUGUGACUGCAUUUGGAGUUAAGGUUUUUAAAAAGGUAAUGAAGUUAAAAUGAGGUCACAGGGGUGAUCCCUAAUCCGGUAUGACUGGCGUCCUCAUAAAAAGAGGAGAUGAGGACACAGACACACACAGAGGGCAGCCCAUGUGAAGACACAGGGAGAAGAUGGCAUCUACAAGCCAAGGAGAAAGGCCUCCGAUGGAACUCCCCCUGCCGACACCGUGAUCUCGCACUUCCAGCCACCAGAACCGAGAGCGUCAAUUCCUGUGGUGGAAGCCGCCCGGCCUAUGGUGCAGUGCUCUGGCAGCCCUAGGGAACUCAUGCAGGCACAAAGGGCUCCAGCCUCCCCACAGGGUUGGGACUUUUCUAUCAAUUAACUACAUGUGGAGUGAUACACAGAGGCAAAACCCUGGAGGAGUGUGCAAGGCGGAGGAGGGGCGGGGACGCACAGGGGAAGAAACAGUUCAUUCCUUCAUUCCGCGGGGGAGCCGGGUGACCUGAGCAGGGUUUGGGAUUGGAAUGGAGAGGUCAGAUAUGAAGGGAGUUUCCCAGGAAAACGCAAAAACGGGGAGACUACCCCUACCAGGUGAGCAGAGCGGGUGACGAGGGAUUUUGGUGAAGCCGGUAGCAAGGCGGGUGCGGGAGGCAGGGAGGUGAGCAGCGGCGCCAGGAUGCAGAGUAGCCUCCCGGCCCUGCUCUGAGGCAAGGACUUCAGUCCCGUGGGCACUGGAGCUGGCAAGGGGGUUUGGGAAAGCAGAGGAACUCAUGUGUCUGGGCAGAGAAUGAUCCAUAGGAGAGAAGACUAGAAAUAGGGAGGCCAUUAAAAUGCUGUUGCCGGCCGGGCGCGGUGGCUCACGCCUGUAAUCCCAGCACUUUGGGAGGCUGAGGCAGGCGGAUCACGAGGUCAGGAGAUCGAGACCAUCCUGGCUAACACGGUGAAACCACGUCUCUACUAAAAAUACAAAAAAUUAGCCUGGCGUGGUGGCGGGCGCUUGUAGUUCCAGCUACUCGGGAGGCUGAGGCAGGAGAAUCACUUGAACCCCGGAGACAGAGGUUGCAGUGAGCCGAGAUUGUGUCACUGCACUCCAGCCUGGGCAACAGAGCGAGACUCCGUCUCAAAAAUAAUAAUAAUAAUAAUAAUAAUAAUAAAUGCUGUUGCCUACACCUGUUAGGAGCUCAGGGGACAUCCAGGCCCCAGAACUCAUCAUUUUAGAGUCAAGGAGGCAAGGGCAUGAACGUGACGGUUAAGAAGCAGAAACCGUGGCUGGAGAGGAGGAAAUCUGCAAUUACCAGAAAGUACUGAGAUUGUCACAGACAAGAGGAGCCAAGGAGACAUGAUGACUAAACGUCACGUGGGUUCCUAGAUGGGAUCCCAGAACAGAAAAAGGACAUUAGGUAAAAGCUGAGGACAUCAGAAUUAAGUAUGGGGCUUUAGUUUAAUAAUAAUGCAUCAAUAUUGAUUCCCGGGUAGGAGGAGGGUGAGGAUUGAAGAACUACCUAUCGGGGAUUAUUGUGCUGAUUACUUGGGUGACAAAAGUAUCUAUCUGUACACCAAACCGCCAUGACAUGCAAUUUACCCAUGUAAAAAACCUGCACAUGUACCCCCUGGACCUAAAAUAAAAGUUGGAAAGAAAUAAGUAUAUUUUACUGGAAACAACAUUUGAGUCACUCAGUGUGGCAAAUGUACCCUACUCAUGUAAGGGUUAAUAAUAGGGGGUUUUGGGUGUGGGGGACCUCAGUAUAACAUCUUUGCAACUUUUCUGUAGAUCUAAAACUACUCAAAAUAAAAAGUGUAUUUUAAAAAAAGAGGAUUAGGCUUGGUAAGAAUUAUAUUCUUAAAGCAAAGAAAACUGGCAUAAAUGUUCUUUGAUGAUGAAGCAGCUUUUUUGUUCUCCUGGUGAGCGCACAGCGCUGUUCCCCUGGAGAUCUCAGGAAGGGCUGAGACAUCAACUCCCCCAAAGCGGUGGCCUGGAAG